rnacentral:lncRNA from 1 species
UCUCAUCCAGGUAGUCUCUUUCCAAACCACUGUAUCUUGUUGUCUUGAUCAAAUCCACUGCAUCUUCUGAUAUAUGCCUUGUAGCUUCGAUUUACUCCAAGGUGACUUCAAAAAGAUAAGAUCUACAGCUUCAAUCUGCUCUUCCAUCGCUUUAGUCAGAUAAAAUUUGUGGUCUUCUCUUCUACAACUUUUAGAAAGGUAAGAUCUGAUAUCAUCGAUCAGCUCCACUGCAACUUCAAUUAGCUUCACUGUAACUUCAGGGAUAUAAAAUCUGUGUCUUCGAUUAAUUCCAGUCUUUAUUCUUUACUCGGCAUGUGAUCCUGAGCUUAACUCAUUUCUCGCAAUAUGAAUUGACUCUUUAAAACUAAACAUUAAAAACAGAAAUUGAAAAUAGCUCAGCACGUGAGCCAAGGCUGAACUCACUUCUCGCAAUAUGAGUUGAUUUUUAA